GUUCGACUCGAGCGAAGCGAGAGAACGUUGCGUCAGCAACGGCCCGCAGGGCGAGCCACGAAGUGGUGAGUCAUCCUCUAUCACCGACCA
rnacentral:sRNA from 2 species